UACAGAGGGUGCGAGCGUUAAUCGGAAUUACUGGGCGUAAAGCGUGCGCAGGCGGUCGUUCAAGUCGAGUGUGAAAGCCCCCGGCUCAACUGGGGAGGGUCACUCGAUACUGAUCGACUCGAAGGCAGGAGAGGGAAGUGGAAUUCCCGGUGUAGUGGUGAAAUGCGUAGAUAUCGGGAGGAACACCAGUGGCGAAGGCGACUUCCUGGCCUGUUCUUGACGCUGAGGCGCGAAAGCUAGGGGAGCAAACGGG
rnacentral:rRNA from 1 species